rnacentral:rRNA from 1 species
GCGCGCACUCGUGCGCGUCGCACGGCCUAACGAACCCCGGCGCGAAAAGCGUCAAGGAACACUCAAAACGCCGCCCGCCCUCGGUGCCCCGUUCGCGGCGUGCACCCGGGGGAUCGGACGCGUGUCGAAAUCAAAACGACUCUCGGCAACGGAUAUCUUGGCUCUCGCAUCGAUGAAGAACGCAGCAAAAUGCGAUACUUGGUGUGAAUUGCAGAAUCCCGUGAACCAUCGAGUUUUUGAACGCAAGUUGCGCCCGAAGCCAUUAUGCCGAGGGCACGUCUGCCUGGGCGUCACGCACAUCGUCGCCCUCCGCCUCGGCCCGUAAAGGGAUCGCGGGUGUUGGGUCGGAUAUUGGCCCCCCGUGCGCUUCGGCGCGCGGUCGGCCCAAAUGUGAUUCGGCAUCGACGCGUGCCGCGACGAUUGGUGGUUGAAGAACUCAACUCGCGCGUUGUCGCGGCGUCGUUCGGCUCGAACGUGUUGACCCCGACGGUGCAUCGCACCUC